UGUCACAAACAUGGCCUCACUAGUAAUUAAUGUAGCUUAAUAUGGUUGUUGGCACACAUCUCACAUGACAGAUAAUGUUCCUGUCACAUGUCACUGAUAGGACCUUUCAGCACAGCUUUAGGAGAUCUACCAGGCAUUGCCGAGGUUGGUUGGGUCAAAGGGUUGAACCAUGUGUAAUUCAGAACAGAAGAGGUCCCACGGUCACUCCACAAAAACAAUUACACUACUUAUUUCACUCCAUCCCUUGCCCGAAAUUCACAAGCCUCACAGUUUCAGCGCAGUCAAUCUCACUCUGCCCUGGGGCUAUGAGCCACAUGAAAAUAUGUGGUGCUGUGUUUAUAAAUCUAAUCAAAAAUAGAAACAGUAGACAAGCACAAUGAGAUCCUACUAUGGAUCAUGGGAAUUCUCUAAAUUCUGAAGGCACUUUUGUUUAACUUCUGUGGGCCUUCUCCUACCAUUACAUUGUCUGGUACUCUCGUUAAUCAUCUCCUUGACUUGUCAAUGCUAUAAAGGAGCCUAUGCGUCUGCUGACUUCCCUCCCAUCACACUACAAAUAAUAUUAUGAAAUAGCAAUGCUAAGAAUAGUCCCUUUAAUUUUUCUCUUUGGAAAGCUCAGCUUUUGCUUCACAUACCUCUUUCUCCAUGCCAGCCUGCUCUUUCUCAGACCUGCAGCAAAAAAUGCUUCCUCCUGCAACAAAGUAAAGACAGGAUAUAUAUCUGAAUUUUCAGUCUGCAUUUCUUAAUACCUCUAGGUUUAACACCUAGACUUGCAGAGUACCAGCCCAUGAACCUGCUGGGAUUGGGGGCGGGGGAGGGGGGGAGGGUAGGGAGAGGUGGUCCUGAUGCCAUCCCCUCUCUGAUCUUGUCAAAGAGCAAAGGGAUGAUGUAGUGCUGCUCUUCCAUUUGUUUUUGAAAACAAAUUUGCAUCGGAUCAUUAAAAAAAAACCUGCUAACAAACAUUAAAAAAAAACAUACUUUAAGAUCAGAUGAAGCAAUGCCAACAAAAAUCUAAUUUCAUGUGGAAGCAGGCCAGAAGUAGAUAAUUUCUACCACCAGAGAGUAGCUAGUAACAUGACACAGAGUUUGCUGUAGAAUACACCUUACCUGGAGACUACAGUACCAAAGCUGCCAAACGCAGGAACACUUCUGUAAUCUGGCAUUUACAUGGGUCCCACUUGUGCUUCUUUUCCUAUGCUGGGAUUUCCAUUGAAAGGAUGAAAAUUUUCUUCUACUUUGAGGUUAUAAUUUAAGAAAACAUACAAUAACUUCACAAUUUAUAUAUAUCACAUCAGCAAAAAGACCUCAAUUUAAUACCAGCUACUUUUGUCUCUAUGUUGGAAUAAAAUUUAUUCAUUCAAAAUGGCCAGACAGGUUGCCCCUGUGCCCACUGAAAUCAAUAGCAAAACUCAGUCUGACUCCAUAGUUGCAGGAUCUGAUCCACAAUGAGUAACAAGCUUCUUCUUUGGCCAGAUUUUCCCUUGUGCAUUUACACAAACACACUUUAAGGUCAUUUUGCUGAGCCUGAAAACAGAACAAGACUUUGAACAAUUAAAAAUAUCCCCUCAGAGUCCCUCAGAAGCCUUAGGUGACCUUCUGGGUCAGAAGAUGCCCUGUACAAAGUACAUGUUUGGCCCCACUUGAGGAAACUCUCUCUCCUGAGGGCACCAGGCAAAGUGGCUAAUUCUGAGUAUGUGUGUAGAUUUCAUUCAAAUCAAUACAAUGGACAGUGGAUGGGGCCACAAAUGCUCCAUGGAAAAAGGCUGCAUUGUCACUCCAGUUUCUCACUAAUGAAUGAAGGGGUAAGCUUCUGCCCAGGCUUUGCUGAUGCUGACAGCCUGAUGACCUUUGCCAUCACUUCUUGAUUUCAGUGUCCUUCUUGGUGUGCCAAGGCCAUCCAAGCGAUGCUGGGGGCUGUGAAUCCAGUGGUUCCUGCUCCUCCUAGAGCCAGCCCCUGCACCACAGCCCACAGCUGUUGCAAAGCUCACUGCCCCAGGGCACUAUGCAAUAUUAAAAAUAAAGCCCCAGCAAGAUCCUGCAGAUAGGCUUAAGUCACGUAUCUGGUCAUUGUAUGUCACAGAAAACCACCCCAGUCCCAAAUCCAAAAUCUGGAGUGGGUUUUCAGGACAAGGUAGUAUGUGCAUUUCUGUUCCAGCCAUUGGAACUGUACAUCUUCUGAAUGCAACAGGUAACUUGUUUCAAGCCCAAUGCCAUGGC
rnacentral:lncRNA from 1 species